rnacentral:rRNA from 1 species
AGCGGCAGACGGGUGAGUAACACGUAUCUAACCUUCCCCUUACUUGGGCAUAGCCUCUGGAAACGGAGAUUAAUUUCCGAUGUGGUGUACAUUUCGCAUGUUUUGCGCACCAAAGAUUUAUCGGUAAGGGAUGGGGAUGCGCUCCAUUAGGUUGUAGGUAGGGUAAUGGCCUACCUAGCCUAUGAUGGAUAGGGGUUCUGAGAGGAAGGUCCCCCACAUUGGAACUGCGACACGGUCCAAACUCC